UACGUAGGGUGCAAGCGUUGUCCGGAAUUAUUGGGCGUAAAGAGCUCGUAGGCGGUUUGUUGCGUCGGCUGUGAAAUCCCGAGGCUCAACCUCGGGUCUGCAGUCGAUACGAGCAAACUAGAGUGUUGCAGGGGAGACUGGGAAUUCCUGGUGUAGCGGUGAAAUGCGCAGAUAUCAGGAGGAACACCGGUGGCGAAGGCGGGUCUCUGGGCCGAUACUGACGCUGAGGAGCGAAAGCGUGGGGGAGCGAACAGG
rnacentral:rRNA from 1 species